rnacentral:rRNA from 1 species
CCUACGGGUGGCAUCAGUGAGGAAUAUUGGUCAAUGGGCUUACGCCUGAACCAGCCAAGUCGCGUGAGGGAAGACUGCCCUAUGGGUUGUAAACCUCUUUUGUCAGGGAGCAACGCCGGCUACGUGUAGCCGGACUGAGAGUACCUGAAGAAAAAGCAUCGGCUAACUACGUGCCAGCAGCCGCGGUAAUACGUAGGUGGCAAGCGUUGUCCGGAUUUACUGGGUGUAAAGGGCGUGCAGCCGGAGAGACAAGUCAGAUGUGAAAUCCACGGGCUCAACCCGUGAACUGCAUUUGAAACUGUUUCCCUUGAGUGUCGGAGAGGUAAUCGGAAUUCCUUGUGUAGCGGUGAAAUGCGUAGAUAUAAGGAUGAACACCAGUGGCGAAGGCGGAUUACUGGACGAUAACUGACGGUGAGGCGCGAAAGCGUGGGGAGCAAACAGGAUUAGAUACCCCGGUAGUC